rnacentral:rRNA from 1 species
UACGUAGGGUGCAAGCGUUAAUCGGAAUUACUGGGCGUAAAGCGUGCGCAGGCGGUUAUGUAAGACAGAUGUGAAAUCCCCGGGCUCAACCUGGGAACUGCAUUUGUGACUGCAUAGCUAGAGUACGGUAGAGGGGGAUGGAAUUCCGCGUAUAGCAGUGAAAUGCGUAGAUAUGCGGAGGAACACCGAUGGCGAAGGCAAUCCCCUGGACCUGUACUGACGCUCAUGCACGAAAGCGUGGGGAGCAAACAGG